AUAGUCUCUAAACUUAAAUGAUACUUUCAUUUCUAUUUUUUAAUUUUAAUUUAUUAAAAUAAAAUUAUUAAAUUUCGCUUUUAUUACAGAUAAAGUCCUCCUUAUCAGAAUCCGAUGUAAAUUUUGGUUAAAUGAAUAUGUGACUUUCCAGCAUGACAUUUUAAAUAAUAAAAAUAAAAAAAAAUUGUGCCGUUAUUUCUCCCCUUCAUCCAAGAUAGCAAGAGUGAUUAUCUCUCUAAAAUUCUUCUCCAUCUCUUUCUUUCUCUCUCACUAUUUCUCUUCUUCCUCUUCUCUUAAGAUAUCCUCCCUUCUACAGUCAUCAACUCCCUCAUUGACGUUUCCUCUGCUUAUGAAAUUUCCAUUUGUAGGCACUAAACAUCCAAACCAAAGUGAAAAAACCCAUAGAGAUCUAACCCUAGAAAACCUCAAAGAGGGAAUGAAAUAACAAAAUCAGUAGUUGUUUAAUUGACAGAUUAAGGAUCACCAAGAGGAUUACCAUAGCUUGAAUCGAAAGCAGAGGUAGAAGCACCAACAGGAAGCCGUAAAGUAGAAAGCUUUAAAUUGAGGUCAAUGGUGGAACUUGCGUUCUGUGGUGAUGGCACUGUAUCGAUAAAAGGAAACAGUUAGCGUGUUGUGAGUCAGAUUGAAGAGAGACAUAGUGAGGGACAAGGAUAAUGGGUUAGUUGAGAACAUGCGAAUAGAAAUUUCUCCAAAAAUUUGUCAAUAGUUGUUAAGAUUUCCCUUACUUCAAGCUCCAACCUUGCUGGCUGAGACGAAAAAGGGCAACGCUGCAAUAGUGAUUGUGGAUAUGUGGGUUUGUUGGGGAAGCAAAAUAUGAAUGAAAUGGGUUUGUUGCCAAAUGAUUGAGAAAGAGAUGGUGUGGGUUAGUGUCUAUAAAAAGGGAUUUGAAGGUAGAUGGUGGCGAUGGGAUGGGAGUUGUGAAAUGGUGUGGGUAUAUGCAGCAUGGUGCUAUGAGGUUUUUAGUCUUUGAUUGCGAGAAAUGACAUUGAAGCUGGGUUUGCCAUGGUUUGUAUUUGUGGUG
rnacentral:misc_RNA from 1 species